rnacentral:lncRNA from 1 species
GGUCGAACCCAAUGGGAGCCAAAUUUUUUUAUUCUUUUCCUUACAUUUUUGUUUUAAAUACUUUUCCAUUUCUCUAUGUUUUUCCCUGUUUUUCUAUUAAUUAUUACUAUAUUAUUGCUUAAUGAUUUGCCUCACUGAUUUUGAAACAUCUUAUUUCACUUUUAGCAAAUAUUGUAUUUAAUUGUUGAAUGACUAAAUGAUAAAAGCUUUAAGCUACCUUGUGACUAAAUUAGAGUUGUUCAUGCUUGAACAACAUUUAUAGUACCACCUUGUCAAAAUCGUUUGGAUUUCUCACUUUGGUGUUUAUUGUAG